rnacentral:rRNA from 1 species
UGCCAGACUCCUACGGGAGGCAGCAGUGGGGAAUAUUGGGCAAUGGGCGCAAGCCUGACCCAGCAACGCCGCGUGAAGGAAGAAGGCUUUCGGGUUGUAAACUUCUUUUCUCAGGGACGAAGCAAGUGACGGUACCUGAGGAAUAAGCCACGGCUAACUACGUGCCAGCAGCCGCGGUAAUACGUAGGUGGCAAGCGUUAUCCGGAUUUACUGGGUGUAAAGGGCGUGUAGCCGGGCUGACAAGUCAGAUGUGAAAUUCCGGGGCGCAACCCCGGGCCUGCAUUUGAAACUGGUGGUCUGGAGUAUCGGAGAGGGAGGCGGAAUUCCUAGUGUAGCGGUGAGGUGCGUAGAUAUUAGGAGG